UAGGGAAUCUUCCGCAAUGGGCGAAAGCCUGACGGAGCAACGCCGCGUGAGUGAUGAAGGUCUUCGGAUCGUAAAACUCUGUUAUUAGGGAAGAACAAAUGUGUAAGUAACUAUGCACGUCUUGACGGUACCUAAUCAGAAAGCCACGGCUAACUACGUGCCAGCAGCCGCGGUAAUACGUAGGUGGCAAGCGUUAUCCGGAAUUAUUGGGCGUAAAGCGCGCGUAGGCGGUUUUUUAAGUCUGAUGUGAAAGCCCACGGCUCAACCGUGGAGGGUCAUUGGAAACUGGAAAACUUGAGUGCAGAAGAGGAACGUGGAAUUCCAUGUGUAGCGGUGAAAUGCGCAGAGAUAUGGAGGAACACCAGUGGCGAAGGCGACUUUCUGGUCUGUAACUGACGCUGAUGUGCGAAAGCGUGGGGAUCAAACAGG
rnacentral:rRNA from 1 species